CCUACCCAUAGGUUGGGGACAACUCCGGGGAACCGGAGCUAAUACCGAAUAAUAUUUCAAGAACGCAUGUUUUUGAAAUCAAAGGAGGCCUCUCUAUAGAAGCUUCUGCCCAUGGAUGGAUCCGCGUCUGAUUAGCUAGUUGGUGGGGUAAUGGCCUACCAAGGCGACGAUCAGUAGCCGGCCUGAGAGGGUGAACGGCCACACUGGGACUGAGACACGGCCCAGACUCCUACGGGAGGCAGCAGUGGGGAAUCUUCCGCAAUGGGCGAAAGCCUGACGGAGCAAUGCCGCGUGAAUGAAGAAGGCCUUCGGGUUGUAAAGUUCUGUUGAGAAGGAAGAAAGAUCUAAGAGCUAAUACCUCUUAAGUUUGACGGUACUUUUCGAGGAAGCCCCGGCUAACUACGUGCCAGCAGCCGCGGUAAUACGUAGGGGGCAAGCGUUGUCCGGAAUCACUGGGCGUAAAGCGCAUGUAGGCGGGAUAUUAAGUCAGGUGUGAAAACUACAGGCUCAACCUGUAGAUUGCAUUUGAAACUGGUAUUCUUGAGUAUUGGAGAGGAAAGUGGAAUUCCUAAUGUAGCGGUGAAAUGCGUAAAUAUUAGGAGGAACACCAAAGGCGAAGGCGACUUUCUG
rnacentral:rRNA from 1 species